GUCGCUUCUCAGCCUUUUGGCUAAGAUCAAGUGUAGUAUCUGUUCUUAUCAAUUUAAUAUCUAAUACAUCCCCUGGGGUGACUGAGGUUCAGUGGGUAGAGCAGUCACCUCCCAUCUGGAGGUUCGAGGUU
rnacentral:snRNA from 1 species